rnacentral:rRNA from 1 species
AACUGCGAAACGUAAUGUGACCUGCACUCUUCGUGAAUCAUCCAAUCUUUGAACGCACUUUGCACCUCGUGGCUCAUGUCACGAGGUAUACUUGUUUGAGCAUCCGUAACCCUCUCACCUCUCCCUACGGGGCGGUGGACGCUGAGAUUCGACGAGCAGUAUAGCGAGUCGUCUCUUGAAAAUCAUGGCCCGUCUGUGGUAGGUCUCCGUUGGGACCUGACCGACCAUUUGGAUAACGUCCUACAAUUGUCGCGUCAGGGUCCGUGUCAGCGUUGACUGUCCUUGGCCACCCCGAUUCAAGUGGGCACCAGCAGGCUGCUGGUGCCUGUGCGAUCAAUAACCAUUUGCAACUGGAUCUCAAAUCAAGUAAGGAUACCCGCUGAACUUAAGCAUAUCAGUAAGCGGAGGAAAAGAAACUAACAAGGAUUCCCUCAGUAGCGGCGAGCGAAGCGGGAACAGCUCAAAUUUAAAAUCUGGCUCCCGGAUGGGUGUCCGAAUUGUAAUUGAGAGGGUCUCCUUUUGGCGACCUGGGAUGGUCAAAGUUCUCUGGAAAGGGACAACAAAGAGGGUGACAUUCCCGUCUGGAUCAUCUCGGGCCGUCAGGAUAAAGGAGGCUCCAAGAGUCGGAUUGUUUGGGAAUGCAGUCCAAAAUGGGUGGUACAUUUCAUCUAAAGCUAAAUAUUGGCAAGAGACCGAUAGCGAACAAGUACCGUGAGGGAAAGAUGAAAAGAACUUUGAAAAGAGAGUUAAAUAGUACGUGAAAUUGUUAAAAGGGAAACGAUUGAGACCAGUGAUGUCUCAGUCCUUGAGCUUGCCCUCCGGGGCCUGCGUCUGGGCUGUGACAAGUCGACGCUCCUUCUGGCGGGUGGAAAAGACUGGCGGAAAGGUGGCUCCACCUUCGGGUGGCUGCUUUAUAGUCCGUCAGGGAUACAUCCCUCGGGAGGAGAGAGGUAGGGCCGCAAGGCUCACGUCGACG